rnacentral:rRNA from 2 species
AAACCAACAGGGAUUGCCCUAGUAACGGCGAGUGAAGCGGCAACAGCUCAAAUUUGAAAUCUGGCCUCGGCCCGAGUUGUAAUUUGCAGAGGAAGCUUUAGGCGCGGCACCUUCUGAGUCCCCUGGAACGGGGCGCCAUAGAGGGUGAGAGCCCCGUAUAGUUGGAUGCCUAGCCUGUGUAAAGCUCCUUCGACGAGUCGAGUAGUUUGGGAAUGCUGCUCAAAAUGGGAGGUAAAUUUCUUCUAAAGCUAAAUACCGGCCAGAGACCGAUAGCGCACAAGUAGAGUGAUCGAAAGAUGAAAAGCACUUUGAAAAGAGGGUUAAACAGCACGUGAAAUUGUUGAAAGGGAAGCGCUUGUGACCAGACUUGCGCCAGGCCGAUCAUCCGGUGUUCUCACCGGUGCACUCGGCCCGGCACAGGCCAGCAUCGGUUCUCGCGGGGGGAUAAAGGUCCCGGGAACGUAGCUCCUCCGGGAGUGUUAUAGCCCGGGGCGUAAUGCCCUCGCGGGGACCGAGGUUCGCGCAUCUGCAAGGAUGCUGGCGUAAUGGUCAUCAGCGAC